CCUCUCCUGUCCCCAGCGUCUCCACGGGGCCCAGAGCUGUGGCCACAUUGCAGCCUCCCCCGGCACUGUGGCCGGCCCCCAGUGCACUCAUCCUGCCCAGUAACUCUCUUCCUCUUUCGGCACUUCCUGACCGGGGGGCCCUGUGAGAGGCCGACUGGCCAAGAGCAGAGGACCACAGGCCUUGCAGGCGCCUUCCGCUGGCGCUGGCAGAGGCUGGCGGAGGCAGGAGACGGCUGGGCCGUGAGGAGCUGUGAGAAGGCAAGGGGCAGGUGGGGACAAGCCCAGCAGCAGGAGACAGCCCCAAGAGUCAGAGGCUGCCAGGCUGCUGCCCAGCCUGCCCAGGCUAGAAGCUGUACCCUGGCCCCAGUCUGGUCUUCCUUUCUGUUUAACUUCUCCCAUCUUCACCUCUUGGCCCUGCUGAGGUCUCCCACUUCAUCACACCCACCGGGUAUGCUGGCUGGGAGUGCCCAGCCCACACACAGCUCUCUCUCCUUAGCACCGCUGUAUGUGUGACACUGGGUCGGGCACACAGGACAGUGGGGUAGCGGAAAAAACAAUGAGGCUGGAGGUAGAGGCAUGGGCUCAUGUCCUGUUUCUGCCACUUACCAGCUGUGUAAACCGGGAUCAGGUCAUAAAUCCCUCUGAGUCACCUUAACUCAUUUUUGGAAUGUUGUUGCUGUUCCUGGGUGCUGUCGAGUCAAUUUUUGACUCAUACUGACCGCAUGUGACAAAGUAGAACCCCUCUCAUAGGAUAAACCAAAAAACCCAAACCCGUUGCUGUUGAGUUGAUUCCGAAUCAUAGUGACCCGAUAGGACAGAAUAGAACUGCCCCAUAGGGUUUCCAAGGAGGGACUGGUGGAUUCGAAGUGCUGACCUUUUUUGGUUAGCAGCCUUGGCUCUUAACUACUAUGCCACCAGCGUUUCCCCCAUAGGAUAAGGUAGGCUAUAAACAGAUAAACAAACGAAUACAUGUUGCAGGGAUCUUUUCUGAGCCUCAGUUUUCUCCUCUGUAAAAUGGGAGGAAGCAAUAGUAAUAACUGAGCUUACGGAAUUGUAGGAGGAUUACAUGAGAGGGGAAAGGGUUUACGAAUUCAUCCAUUCAACAAAUAUUUAUGGUGCGCCUUCUGCGCAUCAGGCAGUGUGUCACUGAGUAGUCACAUAGCUGUGAGCGAGGAAGCAGGGCUCUGUCCUCAUGGAGCUGGUGGGGACGGCAUCCAAGAAGCAAAUAACCAAUGUAUAAUAUGUCAGGUAAUGAGACGGGUUAUAAGGAAAAAUGAAGCCACAAUGAAGGGGGAAGAGAGUGACAGUUGGGGUGAGAUUUGAUAGGGGACUUGCAGAAGGCCUCUUUGAGGAGGUGGCUGACAUUUGAGAAGUGGCCUGAAAUGAAUUGAGAAAGCAAACUAUGUGGCAAUCUGGGGAGACAGCAUUCUUGGUGGAAGGAACAGCAAGUGUGAUGGCCCUGAAGAGGGAACGUGUCUAUUGUGUCUGAAGAACAGCCAAAACGCCAGUGUAGUCAAUGUGAACAGGGAGCAAGUGGGAGCUGGAAAGAUCUCCCAAAGCCAGAGCAUGAUGGACUUUGAGACCACUGUGAGGACUUGGUAAAUAAAGAGUAAGGCACACACUCACUAUUUAUUAUUUGGGUUGGCUCUGCCCAGGGAAUCGUACCUUCCUCAAACACUCUUCAAUCACCCUGCUCUAUAAUUAGUUCUUUAGUUGUAUGUGUGUUUGUUAUCCCAGGAAGGCUGUGAGUUUCUCGAAGACAGAAACCGUGUCAGUUCAGUUCAGUUCAAUAAACAUUUACGGUACAGAACCUACAGGUGCAGUGAUGCACACAGCAUCGUUAGAAACCAAGACCCAGUGCUGUAAUCACCUUUAUACUCCUCAUGACUGGAGCAUAUUUUCCCAUAAAUAGUUGUUUAAUAAAUGCACGCUAUGUAAUGAAUAAUUAAUAGUAAUAAAAAAACGGAACCUUGGUGGCACGGUAGUUAACAGCUAUGGCAAGCUGUAGCUACUAACCAAAAGUUGGCAGUCCGAAUCCACAAACUGCUCUUUGGACAUUCUAGGGGGCAGUUCUACUCUGUCCUAUUGGGUUGCUGAGUCAGAAUCGACUCGGCAGCAACGGGUUUGGUUUGGUUUGGUUUGGUUUGGUUUGAAGAACAAAACAGGAGCCCUGGUGGAGGAAAAUAUUUCUUGGAUGCUUCUAUGCCAGAAACCCACUGAAUAUAUCCAGUAGCUCGCUGAAUCUUUUUAACAACUCUGUGAGGUAGGUCUGUUAUUUUCCCCCUUUUAUAGUUGGGGAUGAGGGGCAGUGGUAGUUCAGGGAUAGAAUUCUGGCCUUCCAUGGGGGAGACCUGGUUUUGAUUCCCAGUUAACGCACCUCGUGUGCAGUCACAAUCUGUCAGUGGAGGCUUGCGUGUUGCUAUGGUGCUGAACAGGUUUAAGUGGAACUGCCAGACUACGACGCACUAGGAAGAAAGGCCUGGUGAUCCACUUCUGAAAAUCAGCCAGUGAAAACUCUAUGGGUCACAAUGGUCUGAUGCACAGCUGACCAUGGAGAUGGCACAGGACCAGGCAGUGUUUUGUUCCAUUGUGCAUGGGGUUGCCUGAGUUGGGGGCUAACUCGAUGGCAGCUAACAGCAGCCGCAACAACAUAGAUAGGGAAACCGAGGUGCACGGUUGCUAAGCUCACUUGUCCAGGGUCACCCAGUUGAUAAGUGGUGGAAACAAGAAUCCAGCCUGAGUCUGCGCUCUUACCUAAGAUGCUGUAUUGCUUUAAGUUGGGGAUGUGGCCAGGCAAUGGCCCUGAGGCUCAGUACUCCCUUUCCCAGUGGCCCUCCCUCCAGCCCCUCAUCUCUGAAUCCCUUAAGGCUGGUCCUGUAUGCUGUGACCCAAUAGAGACACUGCCAGCUAGGCCAAGGCCUAUUUUGGAAGCAGGCUGUUGUAGGGGCUUACCCUCCUCUCCAACGCACUCUCCAAACAGCUUGAGCAGUUAAACAGAGGAAAUGGGGCUGGGCUUGUUUUCCAACCGAGGCAUCUGGCAGCCCCGGAGCAGCAGAGGGCAGGAAAUGUGGCUCCUGGAGGGGAAGUCAGGCAGGCUGGAGGCUCUGAAAGGCACAGCAGUCCUGACUGCGCGGCUGGGGCCACCACCAGCUUGCACUCCUCAAAGCUGUUAAACUAUCUUUGCUUUCCCGGUGCAGUGGGGAGGCUAAGGCUGGAAGGGACAGGUGCACAGGGCUGGGAAGGAUGCCCUUGGCAGUUCCUAGGACAACAUGCGCCAGCAUUGGGGAGCUGGGGACCCCUUGGAAUCCACCCGGAUACACACAGGAAGAGGAAUCUGGCUUGUUGUUACCUUGUCCCUCGGUGUAAACCCCUGCGUGGGCUGGCAUCAUGGUGGGCUGUGCCUCCCAGUCUCUGGAACUCUCCAGAUGCUGCUGGUCCAUCAUCACUCAGAGCCAAGGACAACCUUGGGAGUCAUCCCCUCAUGAAGAACUGAGGCCCAGAGAGAGGUAUUAUCUAGCUCAAGGACAUACAGCAAGUCACUGGGAAAAAGCAAGAAUACAAGCCAGGUCUCCUGACUCCCAGUCUAACAUUUCCAUCCAGGAUUCUACAUUCUCCGCUCCACCCCUUGCCAGCCCCUCUGCAGGUAAUGGCUGAACUUUCGGGGGCCCUUCCAUCUGCAACCAGAAGGCAGGGGGCAGAUGAUAGCCUCCUCUCAGCAUUGCGCGCUGGGUAGAACUUGGUAACAGAGCACAUUGUACCUCUGAUUUCUCAUCCCCGGAGUCUCAUUCAUUCUGAGCAUCCCACUUCA